GGGGAAUAUUGGACAAUGGGGGCAACCCUGAUCCAGCAAUGCCGCGUGUGUGAAGAAGGUCUUCGGAUUGUAAAGCACUUUCGACGGGGACGAUGAUGACGGUACCCGUAGAAGAAGCCCCGGCUAACUUCGUGCCAGCAGCCGCGGUAAUACGAAGGGGGCUAGCGUUGCUCGGAAUGACUGGGCGUAAAGGGCGUGUAGGCGGUUUACACAGUCAGAUGUGAAAUCCCCGGGCUUAACCUGGGAGCUGCAUUUGAUACGUGUAGACUAGAGUGUGAGAGAGGGUUUGUGGAAUUCCCAGUGUAGAGGUGAAAUUCGUAG
rnacentral:rRNA from 1 species